rnacentral:rRNA from 1 species
AGCCUACGGGGGGCAGCAGUGGGGAAUAUUGCACAAUGGGGGAAACCCUGAUGCAGGGACGCCGCGUGAGUGAGGAAGUAUUUCGGUAUGUAAAGCUCUAUCAGCAGGGAAGAAAAUGACGGUACCUGACUAAGAAGCCCCGGCUAACUACGUGCCAGCAGCCGCGGUAAUACGUAGGGGGCAAGCGUUAUCCGGAUUUACUGGGUGUAAAGGGAGCGUAGACGGUUAAUCAAGUCAGAAGUGAAAACCCAGGGCUCAACCUUGGGACUGCUUUUGAAACUGCGUAGCUAGAUUGCAGGAGAGGU